CCUACGGGGGGCUGCAGUAACGAAUCUUCCGCAAUGCACGCAAGUGUGACGGAGCGACGCCGCGUGUGGGACGAAGCCCCUCGGGGUGUAAACCACUGUCAGGGGCAGCCAAGUCCUGAGGCGCCCCAGAGGAAGGCACGGCUAACUCUGUGCCAGCAGCCGCGGUAAGACAGAGGUGCCGAGCGUUAGGCGGAAUCACUGGGCUUAAAGCGUGUGUAGGCGGACCCCUAAGUACCUUGUGAAAUCCCACGGCUCAACCGUGGAACUGCUCGGUAUACUGGGGGUCUUGAGCCACUUAGGGGUCAGCGGAACAAGCGGUGGAGCGGUGAAAUGCGUAGAUAUCGCUUGGAACGCCAACGGUGAAAACAGCUGACUGGGAGUGCGCUGACGCUGAGACACGAAAGCCAGGGGAGCGAACGGGAUUAGAUACCCUUGUAGUC
rnacentral:rRNA from 1 species